GACGAACGCUGGCGGCGCGCCUAACACAUGCAAGUCGAACGGAGUCAAGAGGAGCUUGCUUUUCUUGACUUAGUGGCGAACGGGUGAGUAACGCGUGAGUAACCUGCCCUGGAGUGGGGGACAACAGUUGGAAACGACUGCUAAUACCGCAUAAGCCCACGGAUCUGCAUGGAUCUGCGGGAAAAGGAUUUAUUCGCUCUAGGAUGGACUCGCGUCCAAUUAGCUAGUUGGUGAGAUAACGGCCCACCAAGGCGACGAUGGGUAGCCGGACUGAGAGGUUGAACGGACACAUUGGGACUGAGACACGGCCCAGACUCUUACGGGAGGCAGCAGUGGGGGAUAUUGCACAAUGGGGGAAACCCUGAUGCAGCGACGCCGCGUGGAGGAAGAAGGUUUUCGGAUUGUAAACUCCUGUCGUGAGGGACGAUAAUGACGGUACCUAACAAGAAAGCACCGGCUAACUACGUG
rnacentral:rRNA from 1 species